rnacentral:lncRNA from 1 species
GUGUGUUGAACCUGGUUUUGUGGCUAGCCAAAACUCCCGCUUUUAUGCAAUGUAAAAUAUUACACUAAAAUUACAACAUUACAUGACAUGAUAUCAAUGCAAAUAAAUGGAAAACCAUUUAAGACAACACAAUAGAACAUUACGACAUGUUAAUAGUUAUUAACGGUACCAUGAGUCGAUUUCACAAAAAACUUACGACUAAGAUUUGUCUUAAGUCAUGAACAAAUCAG